UCUCCUUGUAGCAAGGCAUCUUCAUUUUUCUGUAUACCCAACAGAAUGAAGAUUUAAGGCAUGUCAAACAUGAUAAAAUAUUCAAGCCCACUAGCAUAAAAAAACAUAAUUUUCCGUGUCGUGAGGAGUGCAAGGAAAGAGAGGGUAGCAAGAUGAUGGGAUAGAGGCAGUUUCUGAAUCAUAUAGAUUUAGUCCUCACCCAAGGUAGAACUUCCCCAGCUUCAUCAUCUUUUCCUAGGUUUGCGAGAAAGAUGGAACAUAGCAAUGGAAUUACAGCCAUUCAACUCCCCUCUCUUGACCCAUUUGAAUUUGGUAAAGAAACAGUAGCUGCUGCAAGCUGUGAUAUGCAUAGAAAUUUGGCAUGUAAUCGUUACGUGCCGGUGGCUGAGUACCGAAAGGAAAAGGAAAAGACUUCUAGCCCUUUUUGUAAGGCACUGCACUAAAUAC